rnacentral:tRNA from 1 species
GCGCGUAUGGCUGAGUGGUCUAAGUGGUAGACUUCACCUAAGGACUCCAGGGGUCAGUGGUUCGAGCCCUGUUGAGGGUA